ACGAACGCUGGCGGCGUGCUUAACACAUGCAAGUCGAACGGUGAAGCGCCUUCCUUUUUGGUGGGUGUGGAUGAGUGGCGAACGGGUGAGUAACACGUGAGUAACCUGCCCCCUUCUUCUGGAUAACCGCAUGAAAGUGUGGCUAAUACGGGAUAUUCUGGGUCUGUCGCAUGAUGGGUCUGGGAAAGAUAUUGUUUCGGUGGGGGAUGGGCUCGCGGCCUAUCAGCUUGUUGGUGGGGUGAUGGCCUACCAAGGCGGUGACGGGUAGCCGGCCUGAGAGGGUGGACGGUCACACUGGGACUGAGACACGGCCCAGACUCCUACGGGAGGCAGCAGAGGGGAAUAUUGCACAAUGGGCGCAAGCCUGAUGCAGCGACGCCGCGUGAGGGAUGGAGGCCUUCGGGUUGUGAACCUCUUUCGCCAGUGAAGCAGGCCUGCCUCGUUUGUGGGUGGGUUGACGGUAGCUGGAUAAGAAGCGCCGGCUAACUACGUG
rnacentral:rRNA from 1 species